UUUGGUGGGCAAGUCUGGUGCCAGCAGCCGCGGUAAUUCCAGCUCCAAUAGCGUAUAUUAAAGUUGUUGCAGUUAAAAAGCUAGUAGUUGAAACUUGGGCCUGGCUGGCGGGUCCGCCUCACCGCGUGCACUCGUCCGGCCGGGCCUUCCUUCGAAGAACCUCAUGCCCUCACUGGGCGUGCUGGAUGCAGACGUUACUU
rnacentral:rRNA from 1 species